rnacentral:rRNA from 1 species
AUUGAACGCUGGCGGCAGGCUUAACACAUGCAAGUCGAACGCAUCGCAAGAUGAGUGGCAGACGGGUGAGUAACGCGUGGGAACAUACCCUUUUCUACGGAAUAGCUCUGGGAAACUGGAAUUAAUACCGUAUACGCCCUACGGGGGAAAGAUUUAUCGGGGAAGGAUUGGCCCGCGUUGGAUUAGCUAGUUAGUGGGGUAAAGGCCUACCAAGGCGACGAUCCAUAGCUGGUCUGAGAGGAUGAUCAGCCACAUUGGGACUGAGACACGGCCCAAACUCCUACGGGAGGCAGCAGUGGGGAAUAUUGGACAAUGGGCGCAAGCCUGAUCCAGCCAUGCCGCGUGAGUGAUGAAGGCCUUAGGGUUGUAAAGCUCUUUCACCGAUGAAGAUAAUGACGGUAGUCGGAGAAGAAGCCCCGGCUAACUUCGUGCCAGCAGCCGCAGUAAUAC